AAUUCAUUUUUAAUACUACAUUUACUUUUUCCCUCCCGCAAUCUCGCUUCUCGAUGGUUUCCAUAAAUGUGACUCGACGAGAAAAAACGCCAAGCAAAGACAUAUCCAGAACCAUUGCAAAAGGGGAAAUUUUCCUGCAUUAGCUAUUACUUCCUUCUUCGAGCACAAGCAAGCAAGCCGGAAGGAAACGGGUCUUGACCGAGGUUGGCUUUUUACUCGAACCUCGAGACCGGGUUCACUGGAAUUUGUGCGGCUGCGAAUGUUUGCCGAAGAUAGCACAUUUCCCCCUCCUCGUAGCCACGGUAUGCCACGGUUUCGCCAGCAUUAGAGACGAGACCACACAGUCGUCAGUCCCAUGGAAUCGAACACAUAAAUAUUUAUUUGAUUCACAUUAUGAGGAACGCGAGGACUCACAGCUGUGCAACCCUGACGGGGAAUUAAUGGUAAUGGAAUGGUCCUGAAGUUCUACUACAGUUUCCAUCCUCCGCUCUUCGGGUCGCGGAACGAUGAUGACGUUCGAAAUAACUUUCAAAUGUUUCGUCAGUACCACUUCGCAAACAAAAAACCAACCAACAAAACUGAAAACGUACAUUUAAUUUUAAAUUGAAAGCAGCUGUUAAAAGGUGCAGAGCGUAUAUAAAUACUUGAUGGAAUCUUUCAAGUGGCCAAUCGUAGUGCCCCCAUUCGCGCGUUUCAUUCAAAUUCUCACGGUUCAUUCGCAAAACCCCCCGCGAGGAACGAGAGGAACGGUUGCAUCAAAUGGGAAGAUUCAUUCAACCACGGAUCCGGUGCACAGAACAUGGGAAUUCGCUUCGGGUCGUUGGUCAACCCCCUUCCGUUGUUGAAUUCGGACAAGAGAGGGAGAAUUCUCGGCAAAUCUACUGAGAAAAUGUAUACGCAUUACUGGGUUCCCAUUCAUCAAUAAGUUGAUGGGUCGAGCUGUUUUUCGCCUCAUCAAACAUUUUAUUUGGAUAUUGUUUUCAGGAUGAUAUUGGUAGCUGUUCAAAGGAAUCAUUGGAAUCAUGGAAACGUUUAUUAUUAAUGUUGAAAUGACUAAGCUAUUAAAAUCUAA